UUUUAUCACGACCCCAGAGGCUUUGCUUCCCCAGAGGUGAAUUUGCUCAGGAACUGCACCUCAAUUGGGAGAUUAAAAGUGAUUUUUUUCCCAAAUUUUUCAGCUGAUAGCGAAGAAUGGAAAUGUGAGAGGCAACAGCUCCCACAAAAUCCUGGAGUCACAGAAACACUGCUUGGGAAUCAAUCUCCUUUGGCUGCUAAGUCAAUUUUUCAGUCAAAAUUUACAACACAACAGCUCCUAAAUGAUAAUUUUUUACUGAUUUUCUACGGGACCCAGAGCAGGAGGAUCACAAAACCCAACCAGGAAGAUGACCAAAACUCCUAUUUUGCAAUAACUGGAAGAUGUAUCAUCAGCCAGCCCUGUCUUCAGCUGAACACCCAAUUCAGGAGGAUUUAACCCAGAAUGCCACAGGAAAAGGCACUGCAGAGAUGGAAAGUCAUUUUUACAGCGCUGAGAUGAGGCCAAGGGAAACAGAUUUGGAUCAGAACAUGGAAAGCUCUGAGCUUGGAUCUCUCAUAAUGGUAAUUAAUGAAUGAGACUGCAAACAUUUGUUUUUCGGGCCAAACUAUAUUACCUUGAUAUGAAAUGCCUGAAAUUGUUUCAAAGCACAACAUUUAAGUUGUAAAUCUGUCAGUGCACCCCGAAAAACGUUUGAAUUUAAUCUCAUGAGUUGUGCUGGGCACUGGGCUCUUCCUGCACAGGUUUUACUGUUAAAAUUUCAAUAAAGGCAAUUGGAGGUGAGAACCUGAGACUGAU
rnacentral:lncRNA from 1 species